rfam:Schistosoma haematobium scaffold1233_21, whole genome shotgun sequence.
GCACUGCUGAGGAGUCCCACAAUAGGACGAAACGUUCUUCCAUUGC